rnacentral:lncRNA from 1 species
UUGUGAGGUGAACGGGGCUUGUUUUCACGUUCCAAGUCGUGUUACAGGCCUGACGUUGGUAGGCUAUUAAGUUCUGAUGGGAUGCGAGAAUUAUACAGUAGGACGUAGGUGACAUUGAUUGAUCUUUAGGCCAGAGCUUCAACUCUGGGCGAUGGAUUUCCGGUUAGAAAUCGGAACACCGCAGGCACUCAGAAGACCAAUCCAAUCUAAACCAUCGAUGAAUGUACCA